AGAGCGUGCAUGCGUGGGUCCCCGGGAUCUCGUGAAAAGAAGAAGGAAGGAAGAGGAUCGCUCGCCUGCAUUAACCCCUGGCUGGGGUUUUAGGAUUGGUUGGACCCACCCCAGAGAACAUGAGACCAAAUCCACAAAUGGUAUUAGUCCCUUCCCUCAAGAGAUUCUAAAGAGGCCAAAAUUCCAGCAUGACAGGAAACAAAUGUCUGCUCAUUUGUAAUAACUGCACAAAUACACAAAACCCCUUGCUUCAGAACCUGCAACUGCCUAAACUUACCAAUUUGGUUCAGACAAAUA